rnacentral:tRNA from 1 species
GGAGCAGUACUCAAGAGGCUGAAGAGGCGCCCCUGCUAAGGGUGUAGAUCGGGUAACCGGUGCGGAAGUUCAAAUCUUCUCUGCUCCGCCA